rnacentral:rRNA from 1 species
CCCGUUGGGCGAGCCGUGCGUGACUUAGUGGCGGACGGGUGAGUAACGCGUGGGCAACCUGCCCCGCACUGGGGGACAACGGCCGGAAACGGCCGCUAAUACCGCAUACACGGCGGGGGCCGCACGGCCCCCGGCGGAAAGCUGCGGCGGUGCGGGAUGGGCCCGCGUCCGAUUAGCUGGUUGGCGGGGCAACGGCCCACCAAGGCGACGAUCGGUAGCCGGCCUGAGAGGGCGACCGGCCACAUUGGGACUGAGACACGGCCCAAACUCCUACGGGAGGCAGCAG